AGCGAGUAGUCGGUGCUAGUCAGCGGGCGUCGGCAUGCGUCGACGGCGUGCUGUUCUUCCGAAUCUGGUCGGGAUUGUGGUGGACGAUGUGCAUUAUAGUAGAAGGUAAAUGAAGCAGCAUUGCGCUCAGCUAAUAACGUAUGUUAAUUGUAAUUAAUUUGUUCAAAAAAUGAUGCCCCAAUAAUAAUUUUUCUAUAUAGUAA